UCAACUUGGUUUGGUGUGCUGAAAAGUGU
rnacentral:sRNA from 1 species